UACGUAGGGGGCAAGCGUUGUCCGGAUUUAUUGGGCGUAAAGAGCGUGUAGGCGGCCAGGUAGGUCCGCUGUGAAAACUCGAGGCUCAACCUCGAGAUGUCGGCGGAAACCAUCUGGCUAGAGUCCGGAAGAGGAAAGUGGAAUUCCUGGUGUAGCGGUGAAAUGCGCAGAUAUCAGGAGGAACACCGGUGGCGAAGGCGGGUCUCUGGGCCUUACCUGACGCUGAGGCGCGAAAGCUAGGGGAGCGAACAGG
rnacentral:rRNA from 1 species